CGGGACCAGGACCCAUACUCGUUCACUGUGCUACGGGCACGGGCCGAACCGGAACCUUUAUUCUUUGCGACAUCGGUCUCCAUUCCACCGCCGCUGAAGGGACGGUGGACUUGUUCGCAGAGGCCGACAAGAUGUACACUGCUCGGGCAAAUAUGUUGGAGAAUUUGCAGCAAUACAUAUUGGCGCACUUACUGCCCAUGCAAUGCUUGCUUACGUUGCCCGCGAAAUUGAGUUGCAGUGACGUCUCCAGGGCGGAAAUUGAAAAAAUGAAGAUAGACUUGAGGACCCAUAUGCGGAGGCUCGGAAUCUCUGUUUGGAAGGAAAAAGCUCUACGACCUUCGUACGAACCGCUGAAGUCACCGAAUCCAGAUCGCUUGCAGAAAAACAGAUUUCCGAAAUUCAUACCAGUGACUGAUUCACCUUGUACACAAAGAUCGUGUGAAUUGCAGUCGAACAUAGUUUGGUCAGCCUCAAGCGGUAUCCACCUGAUGCAACCGACAGCGAUUACAUCAGCGAGGUGAGCAUCGAUGGGGUCAAGGUUAAAGGACAGUAGCUGGCCUCCCAAUUGCCUCUACGGUCGACCCUUUCCGAUUUCUGGCGACUGGUUGCCGAGAAACGAACUGAACUCAUCGUAAUCCUGCAAAGACCCAGACCGGAAAGUCUCAUUUGCAGGAUUGCGUCGACAUCAUUCCCCGGAAGAUGAGUACGCUCAGACCUGUGCCUCACAUUGAGGUGAAAACGAAAACAUUAGAUCACUCUAACGAACAUUUCACAACGGAUGAACUCCAGCUGACCGACACGUCCGAGGAAGAACCAAGAACGCAAAAUAUCACUGUACUGACUUGCAAGGGCUGGAACCUCUCUGAAGACGAAGAUCCUCCACAGCAUAAGGUCCUGGUCAAACUAUACAUGGCCUUGUAAAGGGUUCAACGGGUAGAAAGUCCUACCCUCGUUCUCUGUUAUGACUGCGUUACAGAGUGCGGGCUGUACUUGGCUCUGAGCAUCCUACUGGAAUGUAUGUCCGUUAAGCAGGAGUGUGACGUAAUUUCGGCGGUCCGUGCGAUUCGCGAAUCCAGACGAGAGUUCGUUUACUCUAAGGCUCAGUUCGAGUACUUGUACGAUGCGGCAUUAGAGUUUGUUCAAGACUUUGGAAAUUACUCCAACAUGGCGUUACGUCCGGUAGUGUCCCGGACAGCUACUUUCAUCUCUUAACCAUGUGAUCUCAUACUUCUCGCCCUGUCCCUCCAUCUCUCACGUCCUGUCGAACUCGCCCGUAGGCGCCUGAAAUGCAUCUACUCGCUUACUUGCGAUUCCUCACUUUACUCAGGCCUUCGCCAAACCUCCCCCGUUUUCAUACUUCACUCGCUCUUCAACCAAAUUUCUUUAUAUGGGCUAUGAGACCUUGUUAUAAUCUAUUCCGCACUCAUAAAUAAAUCAGAUAUGCCAUACACCAUCAAUCCACCAAUAUCCCAUUAAUAUUUUCCUGUGAAACAUCACUUCCGCAACACAUAUCAACCGAAACAUCAUAAAAACCUAGAGGUGAGAUCACUUUACACUGGAAAAGAGCCUUCAACAAAAUCAAUAAUCCCCCCCAACGGAUGUAUGUACCUAACAAUGACCUUAUUUGCACCAGAAGAUGCUUGGAGAUAGUAUAAAUUACGCUCUACUGUGUGAGAUUAAUGUCUAA